CCUGUCUUGAGGUGGGAGGGGCCUGCACAUCUCGGGCCUAGAAGAGGAUGUACGGAGCAGACAAGUCCAGUCAGAGACCAUCUUGAACUAUGCUCCACUUUCUCCUUGCCUUUCUCCUGGGCACAUUUUUGGGUGUCGGUGCUCAGAUUAUCCAUCAACGGCCGGCUGUCAGUGUGCAGCCUGUGGGGAGUUCACUCUCUCUGGAGUGUACCAUCAAGGGGAAAUCAAACCCCAACCUCUACUGGUACUGGCAGGACAAAGGAGGGACCCUCCAGCAGCUCUUCUACUCUGUUAGUGUUGGUGAUGUGGAAUCAGUGGCAGCUAGGAACCUCUCGGCCUCCAGGCCCCAGGAUGGCAAGUUCACCCUGAGCUCUAAGAAGCUGCUUCUCAGUCACUCUGGCUUCUACUUCUGUGCCUGGAGUAUCACACUGACUGGGAAGGAAAUGAGAGAUGCAUGUGAAGAGAGAGGUUGGAGGGCCUGUGGGGGUGGUGGGAAGAAGGAGUGUCGGAGCGAAGCAGUGUGGAACCAGAGGAACUCCAAUGAGGUCAGAGCAGUUAUUGCAGCUGUCUCCAUGGUGCACACUGCCGGCUUCUACUUCCUGUGUGACCUCCAGCAGGUGUGA